AAUACAUGCAAGUCGAACGCACUCUCGUUUAGAUUGAAGGAGCUGCUCCUGAUUGAUAAACAUUUGAGUGAGUGGCGGACGGGUGAGUAACACGUGGGUAACCUGCCCUAAAGUGGGGGAUAACAUUUGGAAACAGAUGCUAAUACCGCAUAAAACCUAACACCGCAUGGUGUAGGGUUGAAAGAUGGUUUCGGCUAUCACUUUAGGAUGGACCCGCGGUGCAUUAGUUAGUUGGUGAGGUAAAGGCUCACCAAGACCGUGAUGCAUAGCCGACCUGAGAGGGUAAUCGGCCACACUGGGACUGAGACACGGCCCAGACUCCUACGGGAGGCAGCAGUAGGGAAUCUUCCACAAUGGACGAAAGUCUGAUGGAGCAACGCCGCGUGAGUGAAGAAGGUUUUCGGAUCGUAAAACUCUGUUGUUGGAGAAGAAUGUAUCUGAUAGUAACUGAUCAGGUAGUGACGGUAUCCAACCAGAAAGCCACGGCUAACUACGUGCCAGCAGCCGCGGUAAUACGUAGGUGGCAAGCGUUGUCCGGAUUUAUUGGGCGUACAGCGAGCGCAGGCGGUUUCUUAAGUCUGAUGUGAAAGCCUUCGGCUCAACCGAAGAAGUGCAUCGGAAACUGGGAAACUUGAGUGCAGAAGAGGACAGUGGAACUCCAUGUGUAGCGGUGAAUGCGUAGAUAUAUGGAAGUACACCAGUGGCGAAGGCGGCU
rnacentral:rRNA from 1 species